GAUGAACGCUAGCUACAGGCUUAACACAUGCAAGUCGAGGGAAACGAUAGAGAAAGCUUGCUUUUUCUAGGCGUCGACCGGCGCACGGGUGAGUAACGCGUAUCCAACCUGCCCAUCACUUGGGGAUAACCUUGCGAAAGUAAGACUAAUACCCAAUGACGUCUCUAGAAGACAUCUGAAAGAGAUUAAAGAUUUAUCGGUGAUGGAUGGGGAUGCGUCUGAUUAGCUUGUUGGCGGGUAACGGCCCACCAAGGCGACGAUCAGUAGGGGUUCUGAGAGGAAGGUCCCCCACAUUGGAACUGAGACACGGUCCAAACUCCUACGGGAGGCAGCAGUGAGGAAUAUUGGUCAAUGGACGAGAGUCUGAACCAGCCAAGUAGCGUGCAGGAUGACGGCCCUAUGGGUUGUAAACUGCUUUUAUAAGGGAAUAAAGUGAGUCUCGUGAGACUUUUUGCAUGUACCUUAUGAAUAAGGACCGGCUAAUUCCGUG
rnacentral:rRNA from 1 species